ACCCCGUAAUGAUAAAAGCCAAAAAGCAUUUAAUUUUGUUAAUUUUCUUAGAAAAAUCCAGCUUCUCAGAAUUCUGGAUAGUAAUCUUGAACAGCUUUCCUUACUUUCUUUGAUUUUAAUCUUGUCAGCACCGAUACUAUGGGAAACCAAUCCCGUUUGGAUCAAGGCAAGACGCCUUGAAAAAGGCUAGCACUCUCGGAUAUUUCAAAUUUCAACUCGGUUCAAGCUUUAGCAAACUAUGCCGAAAUUAUCAUCCACGUAGAGGAGGAAUUCCAUGCUAAACACUCUCCUUGAUUGCCGUCGGAGCAUCAUAUGGUGGCUGUGAGUGUUUGCUUCUUGGUUCCGGCUGAAAUAUCCACAUGUUGCCCUCGGAGCUGUGGCCUCUUCGCCUCCAAUCCUAUGUUUUGAUGACAUAACACCAGCAAAUUCCCACGGAGCUCUGGCCUCUUCAGCUCCAAUCCUGUGCUUUGAUGAUAUAACACCAGAAAAUGGCUAUGUUUCUAUUUUCACCAAAGAUUUCAGAGUAAAUAACAAAUUCUGAUGUUUUUUCA